rnacentral:rRNA from 1 species
CACGUAGGGCGCAAGCGUUGUCCGGAAUUAUUGGGCGUAAAGAGCUCGUAGGCGGACUGUCACGUCCGCUGUGAAAAGCUAGGGCUUAACCCUGGCCUUGCAGUGGAUACGGGCAGACUAGAGGUAGGUAGGGGAGAAUGGAAUUCCCGGUGUAGCGGUGAAAUGCGCAGAUAUCGGGAGGAACACCGGUGGCGAAGGCGGUUCUCUGGGCCUUACCUGACGCUGAGAAGCGAAAGCGUGGGGAGCGAACAGG